rnacentral:lncRNA from 1 species
UUUUGAUAGAUUGGAUAGAGGAAGCUUAAUUUUUAUUGUGGUUCUUAAGGAUAGAAAAUGUGAGUGCCAGUUAGGUUGGAUGAUGAAUUUUUCCAGCUUCAAUCUUUGAUAGCAAAGAGGUGUGUCUUUGUGUAUGUGUUUAAGCAUAGAAAGAAAGGCUUACAUGUCGAAACCAAAAGAAUAGAUGAGUAUGGUUUCUACUUGACCUUUGCAAAACAACAAUUUUGUUUGGCAGCUUGUAAAUCCUCUUUUGGGUUGAGGUGUUCAAAUUCCAAUUUCAUCCGUGCUCACUUACAAAGAGAAAUGAAUUCAAAGUAAAAAUAGAAACAGAUGCAUGUCACUCCUUGAAUGCUUCGUACACUGGUCCAAAGAAGCUGCUUCAAAAGUUUAAAUCAUCCUCUUUGUGUCAUGCAUGUUGGGAAACAAAUCAAGUGGCUGAUAUUGUAGCAAAAUAUGAGCAUGCUUGUACGAGUCCCUGUCAUUUUCCU